GAUGAACGCUGGCGGCGUGCCUAAUACAUGCAAGUCGAGCGAACAGACGAGGAGCUUGCUCCUUUGACGUUAGCGGCGGACGGGUGAGUAACACGUAGGUAACCUACCUAUAAGACUGGGAUAACUUCGGGAAACCGGAGCUAAUACCGGAUAAUAUUUCGAACCGCAUGGUUCGAUAGUGAAAGAUGGCUUUGCUAUCACUUAUAGAUGGACCUGCGCCGUAUUAGCUAGUUGGUAAGGUAACGGCUUACCAAGGCAACGAUACGUAGCCGACCUGGGAGGGUGAUCGGCCACACUGGAACUGAGACACGGUCCAGACUCCUACGGGAGGCAGCAGUAGGGAAUCUUCCGCAAUGGGCGAAAGCCUGACGGAGCAACGCCGCGUGAGUGAUGAAGGUCUUCGGAUCGUAAAACUCUGUUAUUAGGGAAGAACAAACGUGUAAGUAACUGUGCACGUCCUGACGGUACCUAAUCAGAAAGCCACGGCUAACUACGUG
rnacentral:rRNA from 1 species